GCAGCCUUCCACUGUAUGGCGGGGUCUUUAGUUUUCGGACCCGUGGAGCUCCGCGUUUGGUGUCCGUUGCUCCGUCCGGUUUUCUCCGCGAGGCUCCACGUGACUCCGCCAUUGCCUCCGUGGACCUGGGACCUGCAGGUACUGGAAGGUCCCUUGGGAAGAUGUCGGGACAGCACAGAAGACAACCACGGACAUCUUGACAUCUCCACCUGGAUGUUUUGAAGCAAGGGCGGCCACCCCUGCCAAUCUCCUCCAGUGUCACCUCUGACAACUGCAGUGGUACCCGACCCAGCUCCCUGUGCAGACCAGGGCACCGCCCACAUUCACGUUUUACGACAGGAGCCAGAGUGAGCUUUUCCAACUGCAGAUCUGAUUGAUUUCAUUCUAGUUUCACUCUCAGUAAUCAAUGCCAUAUGAAAAUAUUUCACAGAAAAAUCCAGCCCCUCCCAUUAUAAAUUGCCAUACAGGCUUCUCCUGGGUUGAUUUCUUAUCUAGUUAUAAGAGCCAAGCUGUCUUCUGGGUCUCUUUGGACUGAGUCUCUCAGGUUUGGGGUCUGACCUUGAGGGUGGGUGGGACAAAUAUCACUGAUGGUUGAUGCCUUAGUUUGGGUUGUCCCACGUGCAGACUCUGAGACAAGAAUCUGAGAGCAAGUAGUUUAUUUGAGAGGUGACCUUAGGAAGCUCUGGCAGAGCUUUAGGAAGUGCAACAGGAAAGGAAGGAGGCCAAUUCAGGGCGUAGUAUUCAGCCAGGUGGUGCAGAGGACAGCUGGAGUUCAGUCCCAUGGAUAAAUCACACACAACAGAGGAAUCCCAGGAGCAAGGGAGCGUGGGUAUUUAUACACCAACUCCUAUGAGUUAUUAUUUGGGGGUUGUUGGAGGUGAGUGUUAAUCCCCUGGCACCGCCCAUCUGCCGCAGGUGUGGGUAGAGUGGCCUGCUGAGGUCAUGGACAAAAGCCUGCAGGCAAAAAGAAGAAGAUAUUGGCAGUUAGAAGUGGCUCUGUGCCUGCUGGAGUGUUCCAGGGCUAUGUGCAGGGCAUGAACAGCACCUGCUCCCCUGGGGAUGAUGACAGGUGACACUGGGUGACUCAGAUCUUCCUGACAUAACAUGGAGACACGUGGUUAGAAAGCCAGUCCAUUGUCUGAAGGAGAAGAGUCCCAGUUUGGUGCUAAUAUUCUUAACACCUUUCCAACACUGUUCAUCUCCAUCUGGAACCAAGAAAGAGCCAGCCUUUGGCCUAGCGUCUUUGGUAGGCCAUCGUAUGUACCUACCUGCAAUUGAUGAUGUUGCUUUGGCUUCUACUUAAUUUUUUCCAAUAAACUUAAGCAUAUAAA